GGUGCAGCCGACUUAAGCCGUUAGAUUAUUUGAUUGAUUUAACUAAAUUUCAUCUAACGACUCUCAACUAUCAAUUUUACGUGAAGUCGUGUGACUGCACCUAAAUUUUCAC